GGCUCCACAAGAUCACAUGCAAAUGAUAAAUACUUAGUGCUGAACAUUAUGUGACAGGUUCCUAUCCUCACACAAGUGACACACUGUUUAGUAUGGGAUGCCAUGAACUCUCUACCUUGCCCUUUCACCAUGCUGUUUUGCUGCAUCUCUGGUUGAGAGCCACGGAGUCGGUGGACCAUGAACUGAACCUCUGAAACCAUGAACCAAAAUACUCUUUUCCUCCUCUAACUUGUUCUGGUCAGAUAUUUUGGUCAAAGUAAUGAAAAGCUUACUUACACAUGAUCAAAACAAACCAAACUCACCACAAAUCCCCCUCUGUAUCUCUCUCUCUCUCUGCGUGUAUAUGUUUGUUUUUGUAUAUAUACUUUAUCUCUAGUGGCUAUUUCUUUGUCUAUAUUAACUUCAUUCUUAGUGAAGAGCCUUUCUUAUAGCAGCCUUCAAAAUAUGUAAGUCUUAAAAACAAGACUUAAAAACAAGAGCCCCAGCCUAAAAUUUUCCACCCAUCCCUAGAAUUUAGUUUCUGUAGUUAAAGACAAGGAGAGCUACUGAGUUAGCACUUUAUCACAUAACGUGGCUUUAAGGAGACAUGUGGCUGAGGGCUUGUAGGUCUCUUGGGAAAGUAGAAGUCUUACUAUAUGAAAAAUGUUAGUGAGUGCUGUGCACACAAAGUAUACUCACAAGAGGGUUGGUAGAUUUUUAUUCUUCCAUUCACAUCAUUUUUUCUUUAAAAUAUUUGCGAUACAAUAUUGGUCAAGGUUGACAUGGUGCUUGUCUCCAUGCAAUAAAUAGACAAGAAAUACAUUAAAAUGAAAAAAAAAACCCAUAAGGCUAUGUGAUUAUAUGAAAGCCUCUUUUCAGACCUCUUAUUCUAUGAAAUUUCACAUGGCAUUCUUUCCUAUAUCUAGUAGCAUAAUUUCCCACUUAGAUACAGCAUUUUCUCUGAUUUCCCACAGAUUGCUGAUCUCAAGCAAAUCUGUACUCUGUGUCUUGUGGGGAGGUCAUUUACCCUGAAGCUACCUUCUGUCAUAUAUGACCAAUACUCAGACAAAAUGAUUUCAGUUCCCAAAACAUCAGUCUGGCACCAUUUGGAAAAAAAUGGGAGCCAAACAAUUACUAUGUUGGUAAUUAAACAACUAAAUUACUUCUUUCUUAGAAAUUUACAUUGUCUGCAUUAGUUAUUUUCUAAAAUUAUUAGUGGGGUUUGUUGACUUAACAAGGGAAAGGGGGUACUACACGUCCUGCCUCUUUUGUUUUUCUAAGACUUGGAUUCUUUUUAACAUUAACAUUGGAGUUUUCCUUAGUAUCUUUAGUACAAUUGUAAUUAUUUUUAUAAUUUUUAAAUGUUCAAAUUUUUGUGAAUUUUGGUAAUGAAAAUGUAUAUUGGAUAUAUAAUUUCAUUCCUAGCCUUUCCUUAUUAGCAUGACUGGAUUAUUAUCUUUUAAUUUUAAUCAAGAUUAAUAUUAUUUGAGAUUAAAAUUACACAGAUUAAUUUCUAAGAUUAGACUGGGAAAGAUUUUGUAAAAAUACAUUAUACUCCUGGUCAGAGUAAAAUUAUAGGGACAAAAAUCACUCUGAUUAGUUACACAGUAGAAUUUUGGUGACAAUAUUUCCUAUUUCCAACUUUUGAUAAGACGGUGGGAGCUUAGUGAGGGAUGGAACAAAAUGUCAAUUUGGCUAAUACAGAACAAUUUUGUAGUUAGUACUUGGCAUAGAAGAUCUGGCAGAUGUAUUUGGAACUAAGAUUUAAUGGAAAUAAUAAAAAAUGUCCAAACUUUA